rnacentral:rRNA from 1 species
AUUGAACGCUGGCGGCAGGCCUAACACAUGCAAGUCGAACGAGUGGCGGACGGGUGAGUAAUGUCUGGGAAACUGCCUUAUGGAGGGGGAUAACUACUGGAAACUGUAGCUAAUACCGCGUACCAUCGGAUGUGCCCAAAUGGGAUUAGCUAGUUGGGGGGGUAACGGCUCACCAAGGCGACGAUCCCUCGCUGGUCUGAGAGGAUGACCAGCCACACUGGAACUGAGAAAAGGUCCAGACUCCUGCGGGAGGCAGCAGUGGGGAAUAUUGCACAAGGGGGGCAAGCCUGACGCAGCCAUGCCGCGUGGAUGAAGAAGGCCUUCGGGUUGUAAAGUACUUUCAGCGAGGAGGCGUUAAUCACAGAAGAAGCACCGGCUAACUCCGUGCCAGCAGCCGCGGUAAUUC